GUAGUCCACGCCGUAAACGAUGGGCACUAGGUGCUUGGGGGAGCGACCCUCCGAGUGCCGUCGCUAACGCAGUAAGUGCCCCGCCUGGGGAGUACGGCCGCAAGGCUGAAACUCAAAGGAAUUGACGGGGGCCCGCACAAGCGGUGGAGCAUGUGGUUUAAUUCGACGCAACGCGAAGAACCUUACCUAGGCUUGACAUGCACGGGAAACUUCCUGGAAACAGGAGGCCCUCUUCGGAGUCCGUGCACAGGUGCUGCAUGGCUGUCGUCAGCUCGUGUCGUGAGAUGUUGGGUUAAGUCCCGCAACGAGCGCAACCCCCGCGUCCAGUUGCCAGCGGCACUCGAGAGAGUGGCCGGGGACUCUGGAGGGACUGCCGGUGCCAAACCGGA
rnacentral:rRNA from 1 species